rnacentral:misc_RNA from 1 species
AUGAAACACACGAGUCGAGGAAGAAGGGGAAGUGAGAAAGACUGUCGCUGGCUCUGUGUUCCCAUGGAGUAAUGUGCACGUCCAUCGCUUUUCCCCUUUCUCGUUCGUAAAUUCACGCUCACACCUGUGCACCAUGGUAGAUCACCUUCGAAAGAGGGGGGGUCUAUGUUCAUCAUAUUUAUGAUCACGCUCGUCGUAUGGCCAUAGAAUGAUAAAUGUUAUGAAUGUAGUA